rnacentral:rRNA from 1 species
UGGGGAAUUUUUGGACAAUGGGCGAAAGCCUGAUCCAGCAAUGCCGCGUGUGUGAAGAAGGCCUUCGGGUUGUAAAGCACUUUUGUCCGGAAAGAAAUCCUUGGCUCUAAUACAGUCGGGGGAUGACGGUACCGGAAGAAUAAGCACCGGCUAACUACGUGCCAGCAGCCGCGGUAAUACGUAGGGUGCAAGCGUUAAUCGGAAUUACUGGGCGUAAAGCGUGCGCAGGCGGUUUGCUAAGACCGAUGUGAAAUCCCCGGGCUCAACCUGGGAACUGCAUUGGUGACUGGCAGGCUAGAGUAUGGCAGAGGGGGGUAGAAUUCCACGUGUAGCAGUGAAAUGCGUAGGAGAUGUGGAGGAAUACCGAUGGCGAAGGCAGCCCCCUGGGCCAAAUACUGACGCUCAUGCACGAAAAGCGUGGGGGAGCAAACAGGAUUNGAUACCCUGGGUAGUCCACGCCCUAAAACGAUGUCAACUAGUUGUUGGGGAUUCAUUUCCUUAGUAACGUAGCUAACGCGUGAAGUUGACCGCCUGGGGGAGUACGGUCGCAAGAUUAAAACUCAAAUGAAUUGACGGGGUCAU